rnacentral:rRNA from 1 species
UACGUAGGGGGCUAGCGUUGUCCGGAAUCAUUGGGCGUAAAGAGCGUGUAGGCGGCUCAGUAAGUCCGCUGUGAAAUCCCUGGGCUCAACCCAGGGCCUGCAUCGGAAACUGUCGGGCUUGAGUAUGGGAGAGGUGAGUGGAAUUUCCGGUGUAGCGGUGAAAUGCGUAGAUAUCGGAAGGAACACCUGUGGCGAAAGCGGCUCACUGGACCAUUACUGAC